rnacentral:rRNA from 1 species
GAUGAGCCCGCGUUGGAUUAGCUAGUUGGUGGGGUAAAGGCCUACCAAGGCGACGAUCCAUAGCUGGUCUGAGAGGAUGAUCAGCCACAUUGGGACUGAGACACGGCCCAAACUCCUACGGGAGGCAGCAGUGGGGAAUAUUGGACAAUGGGCGCAAGCCUGAUCCAGCCAUGCCGCGUGAGUGAUGAAGGUCUUAGGAUUGUAAAGCUCUUUCACCGGGGACGAUAAUGACGGUACCCGGAGAAGAAGCCCCGGCUAACUUCGUGCCAGCAGCCGCGGUAAUACGAAGGGGGCUAGCGUUGUUCGGAAUUACUGGGCGUAAAGCGCACGUAGGCGGAUAUUUAAGUCAGGGGUGAAAUCCCGGGGCUCAACCCCGGAACUGCCUUUGAUACUGGGUAUCUUGAGUGUGGUAGAGGUGAGUGGAAUUGCGAGUGUAGAGGUGAAAUUCGUAGAUAUUCGCAGGAACACCAGUGGCGAAGGCGGCUCACUGGACCACAACUGACGCUGAGGUGCGAAAGCGUGGGGAGCAAACAGGACUAGAUACCCUGGUAGUCCACGCC